AGCUCAGUUAGGGUCUCUUGUGCAAUAAGGAAUUAGUGCCAACUACUAUGUGGAAUUCGUAGGGGCCAUCGUUUCAUCUGAACAUUAGAAUCCAUACAGGGGUUGGGCCUGCCUCCACACUUUCUCCACACAGUUGAAGAAUGGGGAAAUUGUAUCUGUUGGAAUUCACCACAAAACAGGUGGAAAUCUCACCUGGGGGGACAAGUGGCCACUGAAAAGGAUAUACAGGACACAACUCAAAGCCAUGCAUGAAAUCCCUGUUCCAUUCUACUGGGGACACAGGAUGAGAAGCAGCUAGUGACUUCAGUUUGGACAGUCCAGGUCUCAUCUGUUCACACUCUCUGUUGUACUUUCUAUGGAAGCCUGCAAGUAUAACUUCACAUUUGUUCAA